CUUUCCGUCUCCCAGCCAUCGUCUUCCCUGCAGGAGCAUAGACCCCAGAUCUCAAUCUUGGCCCCGAGGCUGGAGCCAGGAGGUGCAGCUCCAUGUCAAUUACGGCCCAGUUCCAGAGGUGCCAUCAAAGAGUUAACUAGGAUGUCCCAGUGUGCAAAUGUGGGAUAAUUGGGAAACAAAUUCUACAAACAUCUUGAAAGGGGCAAAAGACCUUUGAUCUUUCCAUAGAAAGGCAGACAUUACAGACGUUACUGCCUUUUGGGGCCUGCACACAUCCCAUACCAGGUCAGAGGAUGCCAUCUUUCGGAGAAAUCAACCGACACCUAAUUCCAUCGUACCUUAAUUAUCCUAACUGGUUUCGUAUGUCCAAAGGCAUUUUCCCCAAAGAUUAGAGGAGAAAGAGGGACUGACAAAAUAAUUAAAUAUGCAAUUUGCCAAGCGUGGACAAUAUGGCUUUGAAAUCACCUUUUCAGGAAGCUUUACCGCGUGCUCAUGGACAUGUAUAUUGCAGGCUUCAGACUUUUAUUUAGGCUCUUUUGAUUGCCUUAAUGGAUUAAUACCUGAGUGCCAUCAGUGAGGGGCUGAGACCCGAGGCUGUUUCUAAUUUCGCAAAUAUUGCGCCUGCUUCCUCUGGUGUUAUGACAAAAACAAGUAUCUAGGAUUUGCCUUCUCUUAAAGCAACAUGCCGAUCCCCUCCAAUAAUUGCCUCAUGCCAGAAUCUGCGUCUCACAAAUGUUGUUGUCGGUUACAGGAAAAUUCCAUGGUGCCAGGGGCCUGGGCGGCGGGCGGCGGCGUUGGCAGGACUGGGCAGGCCCGUGUUGUGUGCGGGGCCUGGAUCCUUUUUUGGGUGGCGUUCCCGAUAGGAGUCUGCGUAUCCGGACAGUGGGGCGCCUCUCAAACUCGGGCCCCGGCGGCGUCCAGGGGUGCGGAGGAAUGCGUUACUGUCCCCGCUUAUGACUCCUGCCGUGGGAAAGCCGGCAUAUUGUCCAUCAGAGAAAGUCUAACGGAACCAAAGACACUUGGGACUGUUGGGGGCUGAUAUCCCCGUUUCUGGAAAUGCUGCGGCAUCUGAAGCGAAUCUCGCCAGCCAGGAAUGAAACCGAGGCAUUUUGUCAAAGGAAAGAACUUGAUGAAAAAUUGUUUUAUGAAACCCGA
rnacentral:lncRNA from 1 species